rnacentral:lncRNA from 1 species
GUCCACCGUUGGAGAUAUGUUGGAUAAAUGUCUGUUCUCAAAGAUCACAGGACUUUUGUCUUUCAUUUUUGUUAUUGUUUGAAAAUGUUCUAGUUAUAAAAGUUCUGGCCUAGAUUUAUGAAAUUUAAUAUUAACCAGCUCUAUGUAUUCCUUUAUGGAACUUGAAGAAAGUGUUUCACAUAACAUGUUUCAUAAUAUUUAACAGUUUACAAAAAUGUAUCUAUAUCAAAUU